rnacentral:lncRNA from 1 species
CUUGUUAAAAUUAUGGUCUUAGCUCCUUAUCAGUCUGCUGAAGUUUGAAUGUUAAACCAAACAUAGAGGCCACACAAGCAUCUAGAAGCAAUAUUCAGAUCUAGAUUGGACCACUGUGGAAAUCGGCUUAGUCCACUUGAAACCCACUCCUGGAGAGAAAUGACCCGCACUGGGAAGUUAUUACGGGCAAGACCCUGUCCGAUGAGUGAGAUUUGCUGUUAGUAUUUUACUGCUGCUGUUAUUGGUUUGUUGUUUUGGUUGGGUUGUUUUUCAUUUAGUUGUUCUUAAUGUUCAGAAGUUUUUAUGUGUUGCUACCAGAGGUUACACAUUAUGUGCUUCAUACCCCCUGCAGUCUAUAUUCUGAAAAAUAAUAAGACGAAGACUAUCAGAGCUAUAAAAUAAAUAAAAGCCACAAAGCCACGUUUAUUGACUCGCCAGGCGAGGAAACACGCACAAGUGAAGAAAUUCACUGAAUAGUCAGCCGAGGAGGGAGAGUCGGGGAUGUUUAAUCUUGGAGAGGGGCUCACAAUGAUUAAGGCUCGAAAACCAGCACUCCAGAAAUUAAUCUAAAGGUCUGUACCUGGUUGGUUCAAACAAAUCCAUCGUUCAUUGUUGAGGAAAGAGUCUUUAGUUGAGUCCAGUGGGGGUUUGGCGUUUGGGUCCACUUCAGCUGCUUAGAAUCAGUUAUGAUGAAACACAAUAUUUAAUUGUGAUAUCUCCUAGGGCAUGUGUUGCUAUAAGUGGAAAUUUUUCCUGUUUCAAUUCCCGCCUGCUCCUCCUCAAUGGAAGCUCCGUAUAUGACACGUAUGAGCAUAAGAAUGGUGUCAAACCUGCCCAGGAUACCAGAAAUUUCUGUGAAUUUGGAUGAUGAGGAUUAACCAGAGUGUUUCUCUUCACCCCACAACACCUGCUCCUGAAAAGGAAGCAUUUGUUCCUUGCAUGCAAAUCAUUUUGUAUUAAAGAGGCAUCUAAUGAGCAUCGGAUGAAAGUCCCCUGGAGCAGGGUUCCCACCUUAACUGGAUUGCUCAUCAUCUCUCAACUCUGGAUUCUUUGGACUCCCAACAUCAUCCUGACUUUAACGGUUCAUCCAUCAGCCAGAAAUGUUUUGGAGGUCCCCUCCGUGAGGCUCUCUGCUAUUUCCAUCUGACCCACAGAAACCCAUUUCUGCUCUGAAAUAACUUUUAUUUCUGAUCCUUCACAUGAAACUGUUCCUCUUAAAAAAUACUAAUUGCGUAAAUGAAAAUUCAUGAGGAACUGAGCAUGAAAAAUAAAGAUGGGUCUUCACAUUUUCUAAAGGAAACU